rnacentral:piRNA from 1 species
UGGGCAAGGCUCUUCAUGGAAGGUCAAAU